AGCACGCAAGGGAGCGAGCAUUGUCACUGUGGGGUAAAUGGAGAGGGGAAUGAGGAGUCCUUUAUUCUUUGGUGAGAGAACCUUCAGGGUGAAGGAAGGAAUAAGAUGCCUUGAGAGGCCCCACUGUAUUAGAGAGGACCUAGAAACUAGGGUGCUAACUCUGGUGAGAGGGAUUCCCCAGGGCUACUCUGGGAGUAGAGAGCUACAGGAUGGGGAUUUUUGAGGAAAGUCUGUUUCCUUGGGUGCAGGUUGGUGUGAGCCAGACCCUUGGCAUUGAGAUAAUGCACGUUUGAACUUGCCAGGUGGAGGUCACACCAAACUGAGUGGCUCUGGCAAUGAACAACAGAUUGGUUCUAGCAAGUUUCUACUUUUGCAGCAGCUGGGCUGUCCCCGAUGCAGACAGUGAAGGUUUCUGUGUCUGCAGUGACUCUGGGCCUGGGCUUCAUCAUUUUCUCUCUUGGUUUGCUCAGCUGGAGGAGAGCUGGCCCCUCUGGCUACAUUUUGCUCCCUGGGGACAGUUAUCCUGAAGGUCAACACGUCAAUUAGAGGCAGAGUCCUACACCUUCUGCCCCAAGUGAGGAGAUUCAAACUCUUAGUGAUGCUGUUGUGUCCCUCCAACAUUCUCAGACCCUACAGAUUUUCUUGGAUCCUGUGGUUUCUCCAUCCAGAUCUUUGAACUUCCCAGCCCACCCCAUGUACACCUUAGCAAGCUGGGGGAACUCAUUCCUGGGAAUAUUCUGUAAUCAAGAUGUUGUCCAAGGCUAUAUUUCUGGGUCGAAUAUCAUCUGGGGAGGGAGGUUAGAGGCCUUUCUGGAGGCCGCGCAGUGCCACAGGGGUCAGUGAGUCACUGGAGAUCAUCUCUGAGGAAUAAACUCUGGUNGAAAUAUCAUUUUUCUAU